rnacentral:rRNA from 1 species
GGCCUACGGGAGGCAGCAGUGGGGAAUAUUGGACAAUGGGGGAAACCCUGAUCCAGCCAUGCCGCGUGUGUGAAGAAGGCCUUCGGGUUGUAAAGCACUUUCAGUCAGGAGGAAAGGUUAGUAGUUAAUACCUGCUAGCUGUGACGUUACUGACAGAAGAAGCACCGGCUAACUCCGUGCCAGCAGCCGCGGUAAU